UACGGGGGGGCAAGCGUUGUUCGGAAUUACUGGGCGUAAAGGGCUCGUAGGUGGCCAACUAAGUCAGACGUGAAAUCCCUCAGCUUAACUGGGGAACUGCGUCUGGUACUGGAUGGCUUGAGUUUGGGAGAGGGAUGCGGAAUUCCAGGUGUAGCGGUGAAAUGCGUAGAUAUCUGGAGGAACACCGGUGGCGAAGGCGGCAUCCUGGACCAAUACUGACACUGAGGAGCGAAAGCCAGGGGAGCAAACGGG
rnacentral:rRNA from 1 species